CUGGUCCAUGGUAAAUCUUCUUUGUGGUGCCAUUAUCUUUGAGUUCCUGAAAUCGUUUGUUUGAUUGAACUGCAGCAGAGGCAUUUUGUCAUCCUCACCAACUGCCAACAACAAUAAAGUAAUAGAACAAGAUCUUAGCCUGAAAUGAAGAGUCAGUUUGAAGCAGAAAACGGACAUGGUCCCUGCCAAAAAAAGCUUCUCCUGCGUGUGACACCAAGAGCAGAGGGCAAAGAGAAGCUGCUGGAAAGUGAAAACGCCUGCAGAAAGAGAGGCUGAUGUUAUUCGGAGGAGCUUCAUUUAUCACAGCCUGGUACACAUUAUCAAGCAAUCUAGAUGAUGUUUGACAACACAGUUGACCUCCCCCUUCUCCACCCCCACAUGCACUGACAUGGGGAAACAACAUGGAGCCUUUCACUGGAAGUGCUGUUUACAAAAUACUGCAUUUUCUUUCCAAAAUUCCACAGCAAGAGGCAGUCAGCAGCUUCAGCGCAUGCCAGCGUGAACUGGAGCAUUUCCUAGGCUGACUUGCUUUCAGU